rnacentral:pre_miRNA from 1 species
GGGGGGAGGCCGGAUCCUGGGCUGUGUCCCGGCGCCCUGUGCUCCCGGGCCUGCGCUGUUGGAUUCGCGCUCCCGGCUGCGCAACCCCCU